CUGGCAUUCGGUUCAAUUAGACAUACCAUACGUACAAUAUAUGAAGUGAACUUCAACCUAGUAUAUUUCAAUUGUAUUUUUGUUCGUUUGUUGUGAUUGUGCUUCUUCGUUUAACGCCUAUCAGUCUUUCUUUUUGCGCAAUAUAUACAAACAUAUGUACAGACGAACACACAAAUAAAUAUUAACAUACAUAUAUAACGCUACUCGGCGCGCGGUUAAGCAAAUAAAGACCCUGUAUAUAUAAAUACAUAUAUACAUAUACAAAUAUAUGCGCGUGUGUGUGCAAAUAUGCAACAACAAAAUAUAUUACAUGAACUGGAGUGAACUAUACUUAAAUAAACCAAAAAGUCUGCAGUUUUAAUGCCAAACCAAUUAAAGUCUUAUCAUAAUGGCGGGCUUAUUUCGUACGAACUCUGUGAUCGGCACAAAUGAUUCCCCUAAAAGAUCACCAUUUAAACGAUUUUCGGUUUGUUCUGGAACGCCGAGCACUAU